CCUACGGGUGGCUGCAGUGGGGAAUAUUGGACAAUGGGCGUAAGCCUGAUCCAGCCAUGCCGCGUGUGUGAAGACGGCCUUCGGGUUGUAAAGCACUUUCAGUGGGGAAGAAAGCCUUGGGGCUAAUACCCUCGAGGAAGGACAUCACCCACAGAAGAAGCACCGGCUAACUCCGUGCCAGCAGCCGCGGUAUACGGAGGGUGCGAGCGUUAAUCGGAAUUACUGGGCGUAAAGCGCGCGUAGGCGGUCUGAUAAGCCGGUUGGGAAAGCCCCGGGCUCAACCUGGGAACGGCAUCCGGAACUGUCAGGCUAGAGUGCAGGAGAGGAAGGUAGAAUUCCCGGUGUAGCGGUGAAAUGCGUAGAGAUCGGGAGGAAUACCAGUGGCGAAGGCGGCCUUCUGGACUGACACUGACGCUGAGGUGCGAAAGCGUGGGUAGCAAACAGGAUUAGAUACCCCAGUAGUC
rnacentral:rRNA from 1 species